rnacentral:rRNA from 1 species
UACAGAGGGGGCAAGCGUUGUUCGGAAUUACUGGGCGUAAAGGGCGCGUAGGUGGCCUUCUAAGUUGAACGUGAAAUCCCUGGGCUCAACCCAGGAACUGCGUCCAAGACUGGGAGGCUUGAAUCCGGGAGAGGGAUGCGGAAUUCCAGGUGUAGCGGUGAAAUGCGUAGAUAUCUGGAGGAACACCGGUGGCGAAGGCGGCAUCCUGGACCGAGAUUGACGCUGAACAGCGAAAGCUAGGGGAGCAAACGGG